rnacentral:rRNA from 1 species
GAUGAACGCUAGCGGCAGGCUUAAUACAUGCAAGUCGAGGGGCAGCAGGACUGUAGCAAUACAGUUGCUGGCGACCGGCAAACGGGUGCGGAACACGUACGCAAUCUACCCGAAACUGGGGCAUAGCCCGGGGAAACCCGGAUUAAUACCCCGUAACACUUUGAAGUGGCAUCACUUUAUAGUUAUAGCUCCGGCGGUUUUGGAUGAGCGUGCGGCUGAUUAGGUAGUUGGCGGGGUAACGGCCCACCAAGCCUACGAUCAGUAACUGGUGUGAGAGCACGACCAGUCACACGGGCACUGAGACACGGGCCCGACUCCUACGGGAGGCAGCAGUAAGGAAUAUUGGUCAAUGGACGCAAGUCUGAACCAGCCAUGCCGCGUGGAGGAUGAAGGCCCUCUGGGUUGUAAACUUCUUUUAUAGGGGACGAAACCUCUUUUUCUUGAGAGACUGACGGUACCCUAGGAAUAAGCACCGGCUAACUCCGUGCCAGCAGCCGCCGUAAUAC